rnacentral:rRNA from 1 species
GGUGAGUAACACGUGGAUAACCUACCUAUAAGACUGGGAUAACUUCGGGAAACCGGAGCUAAUACCGGAUAAUAUUUUGAACCGCAUGGUUCAAAAGUGAAAGACGGUCUUGCUGUCACUUAUAGAUGGAUCCGCGCUGCAUUAGCUAGUUGGUAAGGUAACGGCUUACCAAGGCAACGAUGCAUAGCCGACCUGAGAGGGUGAUCGGCCACACUGGAACUGGGACACGGUCCAG